GUCCACGCCCUAAACGAUGGGUACUAGACGUCGGGAAGCUUGUCUUCUUGGUGUCGCAGCUAACGCAAUAAGUACCCCGCCUGGGGAGUACGGUCGCAAGAUUAAAACUCAAAGGAAUUGACGGGGGCCCGCACAAGCGGUGGAGCAUGUGGUUCAAUUCGAUGCAACGCGAAAACCUUACCUGCCCUUGACAUCUAGAGAACCCUGCAGAGAUGCGGGGGUCCUUCGGGAGCUCUAAGACAGGUGCUGCAUGGCUGUCGU
rnacentral:rRNA from 1 species